GAUGAACGCUGGCGGCGUGCCUAAUAAAUGCAAGUCGAGCGAACAGAAGAGGAGCUUGCUCCUCUGACGUUAGCGGCGGACGGGUGAGUAACACGUGGAUAACCUACCUAUAAGACUGGGAUAACUUCGGGAAACCGGAGCUAAUACCGGAUAAUAUAUUGAACCGAAUGGUUCAAUAGAGAAAGACGGCUUUGCUGUCACUUAUAGAUGAAACCGCGACGCAGUAGCUAGUUGGUAAGGUAACGGCUUAACAAGGAAACGAUGCGUAGCCGAACUGAGAGGGUCAUCGUCCACACUGGAACUGAGACACGCUCGAGAUUCCUACGGGAAGCCGCAUUCUGAUAUCUUCCAAGAUGGGGGAAUUCAGGAAGGAUAAACGCGCCACGAGCCAUGAUGGCCUUUUGAACGUAAACCAUACUUACUAGGUAAGAACAAUCGUCUAAGUAUCUAGGCACGUAUUGACAGUAACUCAUCAGAAAGCCACGGCUAACUACGUG
rnacentral:rRNA from 1 species